GUGCUCACUUUGGCAGCACAUAUACUAAAAUUGGAACAAUAUAGAGAAGAUUAACAUGGCCCCUGCACAAGGAUGACACCCAAAUUCGAGAAGUGUUCCAUAUUUUA
ensembl:snRNA U6 U6 spliceosomal RNA